GGGGAUUUAGCUCUGUGGUAGAGCACUUGCCUAGCAAGCGCAAGGCCCUGGGUUCAGUCCCCA
rnacentral:tRNA from 1 species